AAGUCGAACGGAGCUUAGAGAGCUUGCUUUUUAAGCUUAGUGGCGAACGGGUGAGUAACGCGUGAGUAACCUGCCCUAGAGUGGGGGACAACAGUUGGAAACGACUGCUAAUACCGCAUAAGCCCACGGUGCCGCAUGGCACUGAGGGAAAGGGAUUUAUUCGCUUUAGGAUGGACUCGCGUCCAAUUAGCUAGUUGGUGAGGUAACGGCCCACCAAGGCGACGAUUGGUAGCCGGACUGAGAGGUUGAACGGCCACAUUGGGACUGAGACACGGCCCAGACUCCUACGGGAGGCAGCAGUGGGGGAUAUUGCACAAUGGGGGAAACCCUGAUGCAGCGACGCCGCGUGGAGGAAGAAGGUUUUCGGAUUGUAAACUCCUGUCGUUAGGGACGAUAAUGACGGUACCUAACAAGAAAGCACCGGCUAACUACGUGCCAGCAGCCGCGGUAAAACGUAGGGUGCAAGCGUUGUCCGGAAUUACUGGGUGUAAAGGGAGCGCAGGCGGGAAGACAAGUUGGAAGUGAAAACCAUGGGCUCAACCCAUGAAUUGCUUUCAAAACUGUUUUUCUUGAGUAGUGCAGAGGUAGAUGGAAUUCCCGGUGUAGCGGUGGAAUGCGUAGAUAUCGGGAGGAACACCAGUGGCGAAGGCGGUCUACUGGGCACCAACUGACGCUGAGGCUCGAAAGCAUGGGUAGCAAACAGGAUUAGAUACCCUGGUAGUCCAUGCCGUAAACGAUGAUUACUAGGUGUUGGGGGAUUGACCCCCUCAGUGCCGCAGUUAACACAAUAAGUAAUCCACCUGGGGAGUACGACCGCAAGGUUGAAACUCAAAGGAAUUGACGGGGGCCCGCACAAGCAGUGGAGUAUGUGGUUUAAUUCGAAGCA
rnacentral:rRNA from 1 species